rnacentral:rRNA from 1 species
CGGACGAACGCUGGCGGCGUGCUUCAGACAUGCAAGUCGAGCGGGCGGAGGCCGAACCGCAAGGGGAGGCUGAAGCUAGCGGCGAACGGGUGAGUAACACGUGGGUAAUCUGCCCGGAAGACUGGGAUAACGGUCCGAAAGGGCCGCUAAUACCGGAUAAUGUCGUUUUUCCGCAUGGGGAGACGAAGAAAGGCUUCGGUCACUUUCGGAUGAGCCCGCGACCCAUCAGCUAGUUGGUGAGGUAAAGGCUCACCAAGGCGACGACGGGUAGCCGGUCUGAGAGGAUGGUCGGCCACACUGGGAUUGAGAUACGGCCCAGACUCCUACGGGAGGCAGCAGUCGGGAAUAUUGGGCAAUGGGCGAAAGCCUGACCCAGCGACGCCGCGUGAGGGAAGAAGGCCUUCGGGUCGUAAACCUCUGUCAUCGGGGACGAAGGAAGUGACGGUACCCGAGGAGGAAGCCCCUGCUAACUACGUG